GCCUGAGAGGGUGACCGGCCACACUGGGACUGAGAUACGGCCCAGACUCCUACGGGAGGCAGCAGUGGGGAAUAUUGCACAAUGGGCGCAAGCCUGAUGCAGCGACGCCGCGUGAGGGAUGACGGCCGUCGGGUUGUAAACCUCUUUCGCCAGGGACGAAGCGCAAGUGACGGUACCUGGAGAAGAAGGACCGGCCAACUACGUGCCAGCAGCCGCGGUAAUACGUAGGGUCCGAGCGUUGUCCGGAAUUACUGG
rnacentral:rRNA from 1 species